rnacentral:lncRNA from 1 species
GGUGGAUGUCCUUAUGGAAGCAGCUGCACAUGGGGAGAGUGACCCCAUGAAGGGAGUCUCUGAGAAUAUUAUGCUGGGCCAGCUCGCUCCAGCUGGUACUGGCUGUUUUGACCUCCUGCUUGAUGCUGAGAAAUGCAAAUACGGCAUGGAAAUCCCCACCAAUAUCCCCGGACUGGGGGCCGCUGGACCUACUGGCAUGUUCUUUGGCUCUGCACCCAGUCCGAUGGGAGGAAUCUCUCCUGCAAUGACACCCUGGAACCAGGGUGCAACUCCAGCCUAUGGUGCCUGGUCCCCAAGUGUUGGGAGUGGGAUGACCCCAGGAGCAGCUGGCUUCUCUCCCAGUGCUGCAUCUGAUGCCAGUGGCUUCAGCCCAGGUUACUCGCCUGCAUGGUCUCCCACACCAGGCUCUCCAGGCUCCCCUGGACCCUCAAGCCCAUAUAUCCCCUCACCAGGUGGUGCUAUGUCUCCCAGCUACUCACCAACAUCACCAGCAUAUGAGCCGCGCUCCCCUGGGGGCUAUACACCGCAGAGCCCCUCAUACUCCCCUACUUCUCCUUCCUACUCCCCAACGUCUCCGUCUUAUUCUCCAACCAGUCCCAACUAUAGUCCUACCUCACCUAGCUACUCCCCAACCUCUCCUAGCUAUUCCCCAACCUCUCCAUCCUACUCACCAACCUCUCCAUCCUACUCACCAACCUCUCCCAGCUACUCCCCAACCUCUCCCAGCUACUCCCCAACAUCACCCAGCUAUUCUCCAACUUCUCCCAGCUACUCACCAACAUCUCCUAGCUAUUCCCCAACAUCUCCCAGCUACUCACCAACCUCUCCAAGCUAUUCUCCCACCUCCCCCAGUUACUCACCGACAUCUCCAAGCUACUCACCAACUUCUCCAAGUUACUCACCAACUUCCCCAAGUUACUCACCCACUAGCCCUAACUAUUCCCCAACUAGUCCCAACUAUACCCCAACCUCACCCAGCUACAGCCCAACCUCACCCAGCUACUCACCUACUAGUCCAAACUAUACACCUACCAGCCCUAACUACAGCCCAACCUCUCCAAGCUAUUCCCCAACCUCACCCAGUUACUCUCCCACCUCACCCAGCUACUCUCCCUCGAGCCCACGGUAUACACCUCAGUCUCCAACCUACACACCGAGUUCACCAAGCUACAGCCCUAGCUCGCCAAGCUACAGCCCUACUUCCCCCAAGUAUACCCCAACUAGUCCUUCCUACAGUCCUAGCUCACCAGAGUAUACCCCAACUUCUCCCAAAUACUCACCUACAAGCCCCAAAUAUUCACCCACUUCUCCCAAGUAUUCUCCUACCAGCCCCACUUACUCACCCACCACCCCAAAAUACUCGCCAACCUCUCCUACAUAUUCACCAACCUCUCCAGUCUACACCCCGACCUCUCCCAAGUACUCCCCUACUAGUCCUACCUACUCCCCAACUUCUCCCAAGUACUCGCCCACCAGUCCCACCUACUCACCCACCUCUCCCAAGGGCUCCACCUACUCUCCCACUUCUCCUGGCUACUCCCCCACCAGCCCCACCUACAGCCUCACCAGUCCAGCCAUCAGCCCAGAAGACAGCGAUGAGGAGAACUGAGAGUGAGCAGGACACAGCAGCAGCUGGUUAGGGUCAGACAGCCUCCGUGGCCUGUGGGUCACUUCCCUCACAGGCUGUGACCCUAGCCUGGGUCCCUUGUACAUAACUCCUUAUGAUGAAACCCUCUGGAAGUUUUGGACCCCAUUUUUGAUGGGCCUUUUGCCUUGUGCUCCUACCCCUUGUGCUGUCUCGGACUCACUGAUCCAGCUGCAGGGUUGGGUGCCCUGCCAGCUCCCUGCCUGACUCCACCAUGAAGGUCUUGCUUGCCUGUGACUUGAUUGGAAUUACAGGUAUUUUAACUUUGGAAGGCUAGUUCCUGCUUUGGGUCACAUCUGAUCUGGAAGAACAAAGCUUAAGCUGCCUUUGUUAUUUUUUGAAAUUGAAAUAAAGUUUACUAAUUUUGACCAAG